GCCGUGAUCCCGAGUACGAAAGCGUGUAAAUUCUCCGUAAGAGGCAGGAAAACGUAACACGCCAGGAGCGCGUGAGUCGCGUACGCAGUAAACAUACAUUGAGACACAAAUGAAGAGAGACCACAGUAAAAUUCCAGUCCUGGAAAAAUACAAGAAAGAUCCUUCGAUGUUACCUACGCUCGGACCGAUAUGGAAUCACAUGUAACUGCGUCACAGAAGAAACACAGCAUCGCGAGAUACUAACUUAAAAAGGUGUUUAAAAAUCUAUAGCAAACACAAGUAACAAUAUUACAAACUAAAGAUACUAAAGAUAAAUAAUAAACUAUCGGAAUUUUAUUAACCAUCUCUAAAAUAAAUCACUAUAUAAAAUCA
rnacentral:lncRNA from 1 species